AUCAAUUUAAUAAUCACACACAAGUAUAUUUUAUAUUAUGGAUCAAUAUGUGAAUCCGCUGACCGGACUACGCAUGACACGAGUUGGCAUAGACUAAAAACCUUUUCAACCCAUACUCUGCUCCGCAAUGUUUUGUUAGAUUUGGCGGAGAAACCAGGUCUGGCCACCAGAUGUCGCUAGUGCGCACUGUGUUAAAAGCUUCGAGUAAUGAACCGUUUUUCGGUUCAGAAAGCCUCGAUUUCCCAUCACUACUAAAAAUAGUUCAAUCCAGAAGUAUUGUUUAGUGUAAAACAUGUUGAAGAUUAGCAGAUAGGCUGUCGACUCAUUAAAUGAUAAUCCGUUUCCUCUAAAAAGCUGUUUAUUCAGCGUAGUGAAGCCUUCUCCUCCACUGACAUCCAUUCAAAAUAAACCGGCCUCUGGUCUCCUUUCCCACGUACUGCCAGACCGGAAGCGUUAGCUUUAGCCGUUACGCUUUUUCGGCUAAUGGCUACAGGAUUGCCUUCUAGUGGCUUUGUCGAUCAUCACGUGUUGCUCAAUCCGACGCAUUUCAUUGGCUGUGUCCGAGGCGGGAGUUUCAGAUCCCUGGACAUUCCUGAUAACAUUUCUUCGUAUUCCAUGUCAGCACUCUUCUUUUACUAGACUGUACAAUCUAUAAACAUCUAAAAAAUUGAGUAUUUUGUCGCACCGGGGACUAUUUUAAACACUUACGUCAGUCUAGUGGUUUGAAAAGGGGUGUUAGUGGGAUCUAAAGAGCUGGCAAUUGGAUUACUGUCUUAUUAGACAACUACUGUCAACUCUCAACCAGCGAGUCUCGUGCACACGUUCCCUCGAGAACUUAAUCCGAGCUCGCGCUCGUCUCUUUCAACGGUCAAUUUUGGGAUAUCAUGCGCUCUUAGUUCCGCACAAAACUUGGUAGAAAUAGUUAUAUAUCUUCACCUGGACAUGGAUAACUACCGCCAUCAGCGACAUGAAGGCUCGAAUCAAGGGAGGGAGAAUAAAAUCCAUCGAAAGAAAGGAUUUGGAGUCGGAGUGUCAUCUCAGGGCAGUUCAAGUGGGGAUGACGGAGAGAAGAAACCUAAAUUUACCGCAUCGCCUUUCGGAUGCAAACCUGGAGAUUGGAGGAAGGCCAGAGAUCUGCACACAGACUGAGGCGGAGAUGGAUACAAAUGAAGACAGACGGAUAAGCAGACAUGCACAUGCAGAUGGAUGUGUCCUGGCUCUGGUGGAGGUGAUAUGUUGCCCAAACAGAACUGACGUAAACUCACUUUGGCUCAGUCAUCUUAUUUUUCCCUGAUUUUGAUAUCUCUAUCGCGCCUGACAGAGUAACGUUCAAAUUCAGAGAACCAAGUCUGCAUUGUUUAUCCUUUUAAUCUUUCAUUCAAAAAAUGUACAAAAUUGUAACCUUUCAUUGAAGUAAAACAAUGGGAAGUGGGGGGAAAAUAUCAUUAUGAAAUAAAUGUUUUCUCUAGUUCACGUUAGCCACAAUUAUUGGCACCCAAUUAUUGCACUGUUUUUUUUCCCAAGAUAACAGCUCUAAGUUUUCUCCUAUAAUGCCUGAUGAGUUUGGAGAACACCUGACAAGAGAUCACCGACCAUUCCUUCAUACAGAAUCUCUUCAGAUCUUUCAGAUUCACAGCUACAUGUUGGUGCUUCUCCUCUUC
rnacentral:lncRNA from 1 species